UACAGAGGGGGCGAGCGUUGUUCGGAAUUACUGGGCGUAAAGGGCGCGUAGGCGGCAUGACAAGUCACUUGUGAAAUCUUCGGGCUUAACCCGGAACGGCCAAGUGAUCCUGUCGCGCUAGAGUGCGGAAGGGGCAAUCGGAAUUCUCGGUGUAGCGGUGAAAUGCGUAGAUAUCGAGAGGAACACCUGAGGUGAAGACGGGUUGCUGGGCCGACACUGACGCUGAGUGCGCGAAAGCCAGGGGAGCAAACGGG
rnacentral:rRNA from 1 species